ensembl:processed_transcript RIKEN cDNA 4930506C21 gene
AAUUUGCUGGGGCGGGGCUGAUUGCGUCACUUCCGGCACGCCCACGGGUGCCCACAGGGGGCUGGUCUCCAAGACAAAGCUUAGAAAUUCCCAGGAUUAAGGAGUAUGGCUAUGCACGCUCAUACACACUAUGGCUUGAGUUCGGAUGUAGAGAACAAAAUUGGCAGGAAUCAGUUCUCUUCGCCUGUGGGUAUGUGGAAGCAAAGGUCUCCAGACUUGACAGUAAGUGUCUUUAUGUGCUUAGCUUCUCACUGGCAAAGAAAUCUUUAUUUCUUCAUCUGGGUUUCAUGAAGAACUGUUCUGUGAGAAGCUACUGACUUGUGCUGAAGGACCCUUCCGGUUCUCAUAUGCCCUGCUGCUGCGGUGCCUGUCUAGUUCUGUAUUUUCAGCUGGACCCCUCUCCAUGAGUAGCUGCCCAGUCUUCCUGAUGGAAGUGUGAACAACCUUGGGCUCUUUCCUCAGUGUUCAAGACUAUUAAGUCAGAACUUUCCCCAAAGCUUGAAAGAACAAGAUGCAAAUCCAUGAAUUUUGUGAAGAAGCCUAAGAAAGCAACAUUAGUUUCCUGUAACUGCACCUUAUAAACAGCAGAGGAAAUCGUUACGCUGAAUGAGGUACCCAUGGCUCUCAGUGCUGGCUCGUGUCGUUGGUGUCCGUGCUAGGACUCCAUGAGAGCCGUGGACUAGCAACCACUCCCAGUGGGGCUGUCUGGGCUGUGGCUGCAGAUGCAGUUUGGCAGGGAGAGCCCCACCCCACCACUGCUCCCACCACCACCACCCAAAAAGUUUACUUGCUUCAGAGCUGAGAGGCUCUAAGAGAGAAGAGGGACUCAGCAAGAGCAUGUGACAGCCCGGUCUGGAGUACUCUGCAAAGAAACAGCCCCUCCACGUCUCAGGUCACAGGAGCAGAUUCUAGGAGUCCUGUUUUCUCCUGAAACGAUCCUUUCAGACAUUUGCUUCUGCAGUUUCCUAACCAACACAGCAAGAUAUAUA